rnacentral:piRNA from 1 species
GCGCCAUGUUUGUCUGUGAGUGUUGGUGU